rnacentral:rRNA from 1 species
UAUGUGAUCGUCUCUCGCAUAUCAAUAAGCGGAGGAAAAGGAAACUAACAAGGAUUCCCCUAGUAACGGCGAGUGAAGCGGGAAGAGCUCAAAUUUGAAAUCUUAAAGGGUUUCCCUUUACGAAUUGUAGUUUAAAGAAGUGUUUUCUGUUGAGGUUUUGGUAAAAGUUCUUUGGAAUAGGACAUCAUAGAGGGUGAGAAUCCCGUAUUUGACCUUUACUUUCAACUUUGUGAUACACUUUCAAAGAGUCGGAUUGUUUGGGAAUGCAGUCUAAAAUGGGUGGUAAAUUUCAUCUAAAGCUAAAUAUUGGCGAGAGACCGAUAGCGAACAAGUACCGUGAGGGAAAGAUGAAAAGAACUUUGAAAAGAGAGUUAAACAGUACGUGAAAUUGUCAAAAGGGAAGCGUUUGACACCAGUGUUGUUUUUCUGAAAAUCAAUUAAAGAACUGUUUAUGCUAAGUUGUUUAGACUUUAUCAGCUAACUGUUUAGUUUUGAGCUUUUCUUUAAUGCACUUUUCAGUUAACAAGUCAACAUCAAUUUCUUUUGCUGUAAAAAAGCUUGAGGAAGGUGGCUUGAGAUUCGUCUUAAGUGUUUAUAGCCUCUUGCCUAUGCAGUCGGAGAGAUUGAGGUCUGCAGCGUAGAUCCUUCGGGGCUAAAUGCAUUUGUGCUAAGUUAUAGCAUUUUAUAGACAACUUGUUGACUAUGAUUUGUCUUGUAGCUUACUCGCUUAUGUUAUUUUACCUACGCUUAGGAUGUUGACACACGCGCGUGCUCGACUCUAUACAUGACUCUGUGCAUAUCAAUAAGCGGAGGAAAAGGCAUACCUACGCUUAGGAUGUUGACACACGCGCGUGCUCG